GACGAACGCUGGCGGCGUGCUUAACACAUGCAAGUCGAACGGUGAGGCCCCUUCCUUUUUGGUGGGUGUGGAUGCGUGGCGAACAGGUGAGUAACACGUGACUAACCUGCCCCCUUCUUCUGGAUAACCGCAUGAAAGUGUCGCUAAUACGGGAUAUUCUGGGUCUGUGGCAUGAUGGGUCUGGGAAAGAUGUUGUUUCGGUGGGGGAUGGGCUCGCGGCCUUUCAGGUUGGUGGUGGGGUGAUGGCCUGCCAAGGCUGUGACGGGUCGCCGGCAUGAGAGGGUGGACGGCCACAGGGGGACUGAGACACGGUCGGGACUGGGACGGGGCGCAGCAGCGGGGGGGAGGGGACAGUGGGGGAAAUGCUGAUGCAGCGCAGCCCCGUGAGGGAUGGAGGCCGUCGGGGUGUGAAGCCCUUUCGCUAGUGAAGCAGGUCUGCCUGGUUUGAGGGUUGGGUGACGGUAGCUGGAGAAGAAGCGCCGGCUAACUACGUG
rnacentral:rRNA from 1 species